CUUCAUCACAUGGUCUCUGAUGCAUCUGUAGUAACUAUGAAGUCCACAACAUGACCUCCCUCCAGGUCCUGAGGACUGGUCUGCCUUCUCUGUUAAGGCAGAAUUGGAGCUGAGAGCAGCAUCCCUCAUGGCUUCCCCUACCUGCUAGGAGACAAAACACCCAGCAGGGCCAGCCAAGAGCUCCUGCCACGCUCUGGUUCUAGCAGUGGUACUGACAUUCCCUCCACUCCAUCUGGCUGGUCUGCGAUCUGUUGGGCACUGUCCUUCUUAGCCUCCACCUGGCCCAACGAUUUGCAGCAUGACCCCAAAGCACCCUCAGUUUGGCUCCUCCGCACUGUAUCUGCACACCAAGCCCUCUAGAAGGUCCCAAUGCCAGCCUCACGGAAUUCAGAUGCCAGAGAGAUGAAGAGAGUUUUUACAGAAGGCAAACUCCAUCCUCCAUUGCAACCACGUACUUCCGCGGAAGGCGUUCACUUCCACUUUGCAUGCCGGCUGGGAUUUGUGGUCCAGUGUCACAGGGUGAAGUGAUUCCUCACAGGUGAACAUGGAGCUGUCUCAGGCCCCAAGGUUUAUUUUCUAAGCAGCUACUCUGAUAUUGAUCACGAGGUAUAUUUAAGUUUUUUGUUUUGUUUUUUCAAUGUCACAAGUAUUGUCUUUUAUUAUAUCUGGUUCUCAGUUUUAAAA
rnacentral:sRNA from 1 species